CACUCCAGCCUGGGCCACAGAGCAAGAUAAAAAAAGACUGAGUUUGUUGUCAAACUGAGCAGUCCAAGUUCAGGCUGUUUCCCAGUCACACUGACUUUACACCUAGUUCUUUUCUCUGAGCUUUAGUUUUUUCAUCUGCAAAAUGGCAAUUAAAAUAAUGUCUGCCUGUCGGGGCUGGCGUAUAGUAAGUGCUCAGUAAAUUACAGGCUAUCUUUUGAGGAGCAAGAGAUAGACUAGCUCCUGACUAACCCUUACCUUAAAUUCCUCUUCUCUACCCUCACUUCCCAGGGGCUCUCCUGAUACUGGGGCAGGAUAGUGGUGCGUGCAUACUUUGGGUUUUGCCUUGUGGCAAUUUACUAUAAGACAAGGUUGGGGGAGUUCAUUUUUAUCUAAACGUCAGGACCACCAUACAUUAGUUAUUUGUCCCUUAGCGGAAGGUGGCUUGUGGGUGUUUGGCUUCUCAGCCUGUUGGGGACCAUUGUUACAUUUCUAAAUUAAUCCUUUCUCAUGGCUGGUGAAAACCCAUUGUGAACCCUGUGGAACCCUGGCAGAUCCUAGCACCCGCAGGAAGCCUCCGGACUCUCUGUUCAGCUGACGCUGCUGGGCUGGGGCCUUCCAGACGUGCUUAUCCCUCGGUCCACAGCUCACCCCCACCAGAAAUACAGUGCAAAUCCAGCCAAGUGCUGCAGAUCUUACCAGCUUCCAUUUAAGCCAGUUUCUUCCUGGCGGUAGCACAGUUGCCACCACCCUCUGUGGAAAGGGCUGUGACGCUUGCCUUCUCUGCACUCCCUCCCUCCCAGCUGCUUCUCUACAACCCCCCAUGUCCCUGCACCUCCCAGGAGUCUGCUUCGGGGAACCCGACCAAGGUUUAAGCAUUCACCUUGGGGAGGCCACCCCACCCCUCUCUCCAGACUUGGUUAAGGGUCUUUGGCCUCACUUGUGUUGCGGUGCUUCAGGUCUGCUUCCCCAGCGCCUCCACAGGUUUCUUGUUCUGUGAGGAGCUGAAGGACGGGACAGAGGCUUUUCCUCAGCAGGCAGCCAGCUCAGAUUGGACUUUCCUUCUAGGAAUCCCUCUUCAGACUGGGAUGGUGGGAAGGCAGGAAGGCCAUCUGAACUGGAGCAGGUGAGCUGUGUCAGGGUGGCGGUCACCAGACUGGACUCUGCCCCCAGUUCCCACCCCCACGUGCCCACCAGGCCCAAGCAGCCAGAGCUACAGCGCUGGCCAGUCAAAACGAUGCAGGGGAACAGUUUUUUCCUGAGCCAAGUGCAACGACCUAGAUCUCCUUGUAUCUGAGGGAGAGAGACCACAGUGGUGGCUUCUCACACCUUGGGGAGCCCGUUCAUAACAUAGAGGUCUGAGCUGCUUUUCAUGUCAGGUUGACUGCUUUGGGUAAGAGGCCAGAAUUUUAAAGCGAGACAGUGCACUGCAAGCCGCCUAUUGCAGCAUUUCGCACUGGUCUUUCUGUAGCUGGUCUUGGUUCAUUGCCAUCAGAAAUGAAUGUUGAAAGUGGCAAGCCCAUUUGAAGGAGCCCAGAUUUUAACCAAGCUCAGGACACAUAGUUCUGUGCUAACAUUUUUGUUUUGAUGAAAAAUUAAAAAACAUUGCUCUCAACCCCCACCACAAAGAACACGAAAAUAUUAUUAUAAAGAAACUAGAUAUUUCUCAAUCCCUGCUCUGUGGUGGUGCUGCAAUUUGUAAAGCAAGUUAGAACCAAAAAUGCUUUAAAAGGUGACUUCAAACAAUAUGCAUAACUUUCUGCCCCCAUAAUUCUGCUUUUUACAGAUCCUUUUAUAGAUUCUGUCCAAGGAUUGUCAUGCAUUUGCAAACACAUCUACUAGCUCUCUGAGUUCCAUAUUUUUAUUAUCAAGGGACCCUUAGAUCUGAGCACAUGGGGACUGGCAGACACCAGCUGCAGAACACAACUGUCUUUUAGGAAACAGGCCGUGAUGAGUACACGAUGGGCCCUUCUGCCUGGUGGAAAAUGAAGCGGUAUGUUUUUCUUCGUGGUUACUUGGUGGCUCUUGGCAAUUUCUGACUCAACACCACUGGGCUUUCUGCUGGCCUCUCCUUCCUUCUGUGAGGGAGGGGGCUUUUGCAGCCCCACACAGAUGGAGCUGAUAGGAAUGCCCUGCAUACUAACCAUCUGGGGAGGACCUGUGCUUUGGGUCCCAGGGUCCUUAGCAAAUUCCUUUCUCUUCCAAUUAAUUUACAAUUGGUUUACCUGUUUAGAAAAUUCAAGGUCCAUCUUAAAUGUAAAAGGUGGUUAGAAUGUCCUGAAAGAACUUUAAAGAUACUGCUUUCCACUGAGGACAUGGUUCAUCCACAGGGCGGUGUCAGCAGUGGAGUUGGGACCCCAACCUCUAGCUUUUGGGCCUGCUCCUAGCAGAGCCUGCCCCUUAGGCCAAGUGGCAUGGUGCCUUUUCACCCAGUCCUGAUUUGGGACAUACUGAUGUUUCAGCCCCUCCCUCUUAGAAAUUCUGAUUUGAAAAUCACUGUAUCUACUCUGUAUUCCCAUGAGAGAGACAAAAAGAUUUUGUUCAGAUUUGCUUUCUUCUGAUUGUAAAUGGAAACAUUUGGGGUUUGUGUUUUUGGGGGGUGUGCUUUCUCGGACCAGACGCCAGGUCAUUCUGACCCACCUCCCUCCUCUCCUGAGAAUCACUGACUUAGAGCAGUUAUUUGAGGACAGAAAACACUUUUUUUUUUUUUGAGGCGGAGUGUCACUCUGUCACCCAGGCUGGAGUGCAGUGGCGAGAUCU